rnacentral:rRNA from 1 species
CCUACGGGAGGCUGCAGUGGGGGAUAUUGGACAAUGGGGGGAACCCUGAUCCAGCGACGCCGCGUGAGUGAAGAAGUAUCUCGGUAUGUAAAGCUCUAUCAGCAGGGAAGCAGAAAUGACGGUACCUGAGUAAGAAGCCACGGCUAACUACGUGCCAGCAGCCGCGGUAAUACGUAGGGGGCAAGCGUUAUCCGGAAUUACUGGGUGGAAAGGGAGCGUAGACGGUGAUGUAAGUCUGGAGUGAAAGGCGGGGGCCCAACCCCCGGACUGCUCUGGAAACUAUGUGACUGGAGUGCAGGAGAGGUGAGCGGAAUUCCUAGUGUAGCGGUGAAAUGCGUAGAUAUUAGGAGGAACACCAGUGGCGAAGGCGGGUCACUGGACUGUAACUGACGUUGAGGCUCGAAAGCGUGGGGAGCAAACAGGAUUAGAUACCCUUGUAGUC